CGGGGGGACGCUUGAGGUGGCUGUUUUCGAACCAGGUCAGGACGGGAACGUAGCAGCCUUAAGAAAUACCAGCCACGCUUAAGCUGAUCCCUCCGGCA
rnacentral:SRP_RNA from 3 species